ACUUGACCAUUUGCUUGAUGAGUUUGAAGCCUCUGUUUCAGAAGCAGUGGGCAUGACUGCUGUGGUUCCGCAUGAAUAAGCUCGGUAGAUUAUUCCAAAGCAUGGACUUUAGUAUCACAUGCCAUAGCAAGAAAGUUCGGAAGAAGAAAAUGUUUGGUGUUCUUUGCAAUUAGACGGAAGAAUGACUUUAGACUAAAAAAGAUAUUAGUCGGUGCUCACUCCAACUCUAGUGUUCAAGAUUUUCGGUCCAAGUUUGCUAUUCAAGAAGUGAAGAACAAUUGUGCAAGAUGUCGGCUUGAACAAGAAAUUUUCUGUGUGAAUUAAAAGUGAGAAUCAAGUGUGGAACUCAUAUAAUUUUGUUACCUUGUACUCAUAAAAGUACAUUAAAUAUUUAAGUGAACUGCCUAAAUACUUCAGGCAUAUAUGUAAUAAAAAGCUGUCUAAUUUUAUACCAAUAAAAUUAUUUGUUUUGUA